rnacentral:rRNA from 1 species
UGAGGAAUAUUGGACAAUGGGCGCAAGCCUGAUCCAGCCAUGCCGCGUGCAGGAUGACGGUCCUAUGGAUUGUAAACUGCUUUUGUACAGGAAGAAACAGUUCUACGUGUAGAACCUUGACGGUACUGUAAGAAUAAGGAUCGGCUAACUCCGUGCCAGCAGCCGCGGUAAUACGGAGGAUCCAAGCGUUAUCCGGAAUCAUUGGGUUUAAAGGGUCCGUAGGCGGUUAGAUAAGUCAGUGGUGAAAGCCCAUCGCUCAACGGUGGAACGGCCAUUGAUACUGUCUGACUUGAAUUAUUAGGAAGUAACUAGAAUAUGUAGUGUAGCGGUGAAAUGCUUAGAGAUUACAUGGAAUACCAAUUGCGAAGGCAGGUUACUACUAAUGGAUUGACACUGAGGUGCGAAAGCGUGGGGAGCAAACAGGAUUAGAUACCCCUGUAGUCCCUGAGCGGGCUGGCAAGGCGCAU